AUUCUUGCGCAGAGGCAAUGGGCGAAGCUUAUGAGCCAAUCCGAGGCGCGAUCAUUGCUGGUUGAAAACUUAACCCCAUACCACCCCGCUCUGGAUGACUUGAAACAUAGUCAGCCGUGGCAUUUUUGAUGGUCUCUUAUGAGA